UGUGGGCCACCUAGUCACCAGC
rnacentral:miRNA from 1 species